UAGCAGCAGAAAUGAUAAAAACUCUUUGUGAUGAAUAUUAAACAUGAAGCCAGAGGAUGAAUCAUUAUUCUCCAGUUUAAUGGUGAAGCUGCAUCUGGAGGGUUUGUAGGUUUAGUUCAGUCUGACAGAGUCACAGAGCCGUGUCUCUCUACACUGAGAGGUUUUUGUACGACGGCUCAAUGACUUUGUAUCACUGUGGUGGACUUUUGGUGGAGGAACCAGACUGGAUGUUGGAAGUGAUGUCCGUCCCACCCUGAUGGUGCUGCCCCCCUCCGACGAGGAGCUGAAGCAGGGGAAGGCCACGCUCAUGUGCCUGGCCAACAAGGGCUUCCCCUCAGGCUGGAGUCUGGCCUGGAAGGUGGACGGCAGCAGCAGCUUGGAUCAGAGCAGGAGCCCCGGGGUGCUGGGGAAGGACGGCACCUACAGCUGGAGCAGCACCCUGAGGCUCACUGCAGACCAGUGGACGAAGGCGGGCUCUGUGACCUGUGAGGCCACCCAGGGCUCCCAGACUCCGGUCUCAGAGACACUGAGGACAGACCAGUGUUCCCAGUCCUGACCUGACUCUCUGAGACUGUGCUAUUGGUUUUACUCUGCUCCUGCUCUCAGUCUGCUCUCUGUAACUGUCUCUCUCUCUCUCUCUUUAUGAGUCUCUCAGAUGUGUUUGCUCGUUCUUUGUCAUUUGUCAUUUCGAUAUUUCCAGAUAAUAAAGAUCAGUUCAUCCAAUA